rnacentral:sRNA from 1 species
AGGGAUCCUGGCUUCUGAGGGAACACGUCUUUCCCCCAUUCACUCUACACUUGUUCCUGUUCUUUCAGAUUUUUUUAGUGAAGCUGAAAGUGCAGUUUAGUAAUAGAUUCCUACCUAAUGCUGUAGGAGUCUGCAGGGUUAGAACUUGUUUAUUCUUGGCAGGAAGGCUGCUCCUGUGCCCUAGGAAAGGGCAAGGCCUUUUCUAAAAGAAUUCAAUGUAACAUUCUUUUGGAAGUUACUCAGGACCUGCUUAGCUACGGCAAAAACACCUUAGAAAAACUGAUAGGUUUAAAUGUAAAGUGAAUCCAAAACUUCAUAAUGAAAAUUUCCUUAAUUUUACCAGAGUUUGGAGUUAAAGGACAAAAGAAAAGAUAGGGAAAAUACAUUUGAGUGCUGGGAGCUCUGCAGCAGCCUGGGAGGGAAAUAGGAGGGAGGGGCCACAGUGGGUGGGGUUCAGGUAUAGGUGUGAGGCCAUGUGCUUUCCCAUUGCUUACCCGCCAUUGUUCACCCCACUGCUCACUUUGGACAGACUUUCAAAGAGGUGACACAGGUCAAAAAGAGUCAUAUUAACCAAGACAAGUAAGUGUCCCUACAACAAUACAGAAAAAAUAAUUCAAAGAAGGCAUUCUUAACUCUUGAUCUGGAAUAAAAUAAGAAGCAAAUGGAAAUGUUUAUUGGAGACAAAUAUUUUGCACUUUUGCAAAUAAUUGAUAGAUAAUGCCUAAAUGUUAGGUAUGGAAUUUAGUGAAAAUGCUUCUGUUGAUAUUACGUAUAAUAGCAGAAAUCAGUUGGCAAUAGUAUGAGAUUAACAGGUAGGCAAAUUUUAGCAGGGUUUGUUGAGGAUGCUUCUAAAACAUGUCAUACUUGCCAGUGACACAAUCCUGGUGGAAACCACUUAGGCAGGACAUGUGUGAGCAUCAAGUCUCAAGGCCCUCUGAAUACUCAGAUGGAUUUUAUACUGGUGUUGCUUCAACUCUACAUGUUCUGCACAAGACAGAGGCAACAUAUUACUAAAAAAUAUUUAAUAGCCUCCUCUCCUCUCUUUUUCAGGCCCUUCUUGUUAGUUUGCACCUCUGAGUGCAAACAUUAAAUUAACUAUAAGGCAUAUUGUCUGGAGACAUUAUUGAAGAUUUGUGCCUCUGUAACAAAGUUGAUUUUCAAAUGGGGGUUUCCCAAACAGCACAAAAUAAGACAGAGACAUUAAAUAAUCACCACAAUACUUAGUUUAA